rnacentral:pre_miRNA from 1 species
ACUGGGGGGGUGGCGUCCCUCAGCUCUGAUUGUGAGAGGGUGCAGGCCAGGUUGAGGGACCCCACCAGUGCAUU